CAUUUUUCUAUGGUAUUGAUAAGAGCAUGUCUUUGUCUAGGAUUGGCAGGCAGCAGUCGCGGGAUGCCCCCACCCAUUCCAUCCCAGAGGACAGACUUUACUGCUGCUGUCAAAGCUCUACUCAUGUCCAAAGAUGUUGCCUCAGAAAACAUCUGAAAGCAGCAUCUGGUUUGAUGUCUCCAAAGGUUUCAGCCUCCUGGCAAGCCAAAAUCUACAAGAUACAGCAAUCAACUAUUGACCAAUACAACUAAUGAAUUGCAUCAUUUGGUUUUAUUUAACAUCAAAUAAACAAUCCCCAAAGGGCCCAAAUGUAACAUUAGCCGCCUGCUCUGGUUUCAAACCUAAGCUAUGACAAGAACCAUGCUUGAAGAACUGGGGCCGAGGGAACCUCGGAGUCUCCAGGUCCUAGCUAGUUUCAGUUGCUAGACUGGCAUAUGGGCUGGAUCAGGAAACACAAGCUCAAUGAUGUCAUGACCAUCUGACCCCAGGGUGACAGGUUUGGGGAAUUUGUCUGCUAGUGGCCUCAGGCCAAAGUCAAGUAUGUCUAUGUUGUGCAUGUGGAUUUCAUUUGAACCAAUGCGAUCUCUCCAACCUAGAUUGCUCUCCUUGGGAACCCUCACUCACAGCAGGAAAUGGUUUUCAUUAGCAACAAAAUAGGCAUAAAUUACUCAAAUGUUUGCCAAUUCAUCACACACUGCAUUAUUGUUGGUUAAUGUUGCUUCACACACAUUUUUUUGCAAACAGUUUUUAAAACAAUGAUUACUUAAAAUGUUUACAUUGUUGCUAAUCUGUUUUGUGUGGAACUUUACUGCUCAUAAACUGUUUGACCACCAAAAUCUGUGCAAUAAAUGUCUAUGAUUUUCAGUC